CCACAAUUGGUGGAAUAAAAAAAAUGUGGCUGAAAGAGUUCACAAUUGGUGGAACAAAGAGAAUAAAAAGGAGUGAUGGAAGGAGUUGCAGAUCAUAAGAUUAUCCUUCAGAGCUGACAGGAGGGUAAUGCAGCUUCUUCUGAUUUCGGACGCAGUGUAAGUCUAACACGAGAAAAUGAUUAUGUAGCAGAACUGGACUGAAAGCUCUGUGAACAAGGGCUGUAAUCCCCCGCUAAGAAGAACGACAAGAAAGAGAAGAGAG
rnacentral:lncRNA from 1 species